AGACGGGGGGUGCUAGCGUUGUUCGGAAUUACUGGGCGUAAAGGGCGCGUAGGCGGCUCUGCGAGUCGGGCGUGAAAUCCCGGGGCUUAACCCCGGAACGGCGCUCGAUACUGCGGGGCUGGAGACCGGAAGGGGAGGGUGGAAUUCCCAGUGUAGAGGUGAAAUUCGUAGAUAUUGGGAGGAACACCGGUGGCGAAAGCGGCUCUCUGGUCCGGUUCUGACGCUGAGGCGCGAAAGCGUGGGGAGCAAACAGGAUUAGAAACCCUAGUAGUCC
rnacentral:rRNA from 1 species